rnacentral:rRNA from 1 species
UGCCUAACACAUGCAAGUCGAACGGAGCUGCUUUGAUGAGAUCUUCGGAUGGAUUUAAAACAGCUUAGUGGCGGACGGGUGAGUAACGCGUGGGUAACCUGCCUCACACUGGGGGAUAACAGUUAGAAAUAGCUGCUAAUACCGCAUAAGCGCACGGUUCCGCAUGGAACAGUGUGAAAAACUCCGGUGGUGUGAGAUGGACCCGCGUCUGGUUAGCCAGUUGGCGGGGUAACGGCCCACCAAAGCGACGAUCAGUAGCCGGCCUGAGAGGGUGAACGGCCACAUUGGGACUGAGACACGGCCCAAACUCCUACGGGAGGCAGCAGUGGGGAAUAUUGCACAAUGGGGGAAACCCUGAUGCAGCGACGCCGCGUGAGUGAAGAAGUAUUUCGGUAUGUAAAGCUCUAUCAGCAGGGAAGAAAGUGACGGUACCUGAAUAAGAAGCCCCGGCUAACUACGUGCCAGCAGCCGCGGUAAUACCUAGGGGGCAAGCGUUAUCCGGAUUUACUGGGUGUAAAGGGAGCGUAGACGGCAAGGCAAGUCUGAAGUGAAAGCCCGGUGCUUAACGCCGGGACUGCUUUGGAAACUGUUUAGCUGGAGUGCCGGAGAGGUAAGCGGAAUUCCUAGUGUAGCGGUGAAAUGCGUAG